GUAAUCCUGAGACCAGUCCAGGGGGAAUAAGGCAAGUAUGGAGGAUAUCAUACUUCAGACUUUCAACCAGAAGUACUUACUCUUGAACCCAAGAGGCUCACUCCAAUUGAGAGUCUGUCUACAUUUUGCCAGACCCUGCGCUGGGUUUUGCUGGGUAAACAAAGGCACACCCUUGCUUCCAAGAGUCUAUCAGUUUCACAAUGACAGGAACAUGUGGUACUCCCUAGGUUCUAAUGCUCUUUUCCCCAUUCCACACAGGUCUUCAGAAUACCAGUUAUGCUGGGAAGCACAGCAGACUGUUCUCAUCAAAGAAGAACUUAUCAUAAAUUAUUUUACCGGUAGCUGAAAAGCAAGCCGAGGGAGACUCUGAGAGAUGUGGGUGCCCUGAAUGUAUCAGAUCUCUGUCUGCCUUCUGCAGCUGUAGCAGCAUGCUAGAUGAUGGAAUAGCAGUGCCCUGGGCAGCAGAAGAAAGUCCUGAGACAGAACACCCAGGACAGCAUACUUACCAUGGCUUCCCUGUCUCACAAGAUUCAUCCACAUCGAACUGCCCAAGAACAAAUGUACCACGGGCUAAUCUGGAGGGAUCAAGAAACGGAGGCAAAGAGAGAUUAAAGAGCUUGCCCAAUUUUAGAAAGCUAGUGAGUGGGACAGCUAAGAAUUCAUCUCACACCCGACCCUGGAACUGAUGCUCUUAUCACUUCACUCUUCUGCCUUCCCAUGAUGAGGCAGGUACAUCCGGGGCAGUAUUGCUGUCUAGGCUGUUGUUACAUUAUGGUGAAAGACUAAUUCCAACAUGAAGAAUAAAUCAAAAAUUUAUUAAUUAUGACUAUGCUUUUAUGUCUAUUGUCAAGACCACUCAUAUUUCUUAAGGAGAAUAUAACAUAAUGAAAG
rnacentral:lncRNA from 1 species